CAGCCGCCGCGGUAAUACGAAGGGGGCUAGCGUUGCUCGGAAUGACUGGGCGUAAAGGGCGCGUAGGCGGCUGACACAGUCAGAUGUGAAAUUCCUGGGCUCAACCUGGGGACUGCAUUUGAGACGUGUUGGCUUGAGUGGAGAAGAGGGUCGUGGAACUUCCAGUGUAGAGGUGAAAUUCGUAGAUAUUGGAAAGAACACCGGUGGCGAAGGCGGCGACCUGGUCUUUAACUGACGCUGAGGCGCGAAAGCGUGGGGAGCAAACAGGAUUAGAUACCCGAGUAGUCCCUGUCUCUUAUAC
rnacentral:rRNA from 1 species